rnacentral:rRNA from 1 species
UUGGAGGGGCAAGUCUGGUGCCAGCAGCCGCGGUAAUUCCAGCUCCAAUAGCGUAUAUUAAAGUUGUUGCAGUUAAAAAGCUCGUAGUUGAAUUUCGGGGUUAGUAGGUUGGUCAUGCCUCUGGUAUGUACUGGUCUCACUGAUUCCUCCUUCCUGAUGAACCGUAAUGCCAUUAAUUUGGUGUUGCGGGGAAUUUGGACUGUUACUUUGAAAAAAUUAGAGUGUUUAAAGCAAGCUAACGCUUGAAUACAUUAGCAUGGAAUAAUGAAAUAGGACGUUCGAUCCUAUUUUGUUGGUUUCUAGGAUUGACGUAAUGAUUAAUAGGGAUAGUUGGGGGCAUUAGUAUUCAAUUGUCAGAGGUGAAAUUCUUGGAUUUAUUGAAGACUAACUACUGCGAAAGCAUUUGCCAAGGAUGUUUUCAUUAAUCAAGUACGAAAGUUAGGGGAUCGAAGACGAUCAGAUACCGUCGUAGUCUUAACCAUAAACUAUGCCGACUAGGGAUCGGAUGAUGUUAAUUUUUUAAUGACUCAUUCGGCGCCUUACGGGAAAC